AUGGCGCGCAAUGCGGCGGACAAGGCGACCUCCAUCGACGCGCAGCUGCGGAUGCUGGCGCCCAAGAAGCUCUCGGAGGACGACAAGCUGGUGGAGUACGACGCGCUCCUCAUCGAGCGCUUCCUCUGCAUCCUCCAGGGCCUCCAGGGGGACAAGAUCAGGGAGACGGUCCAGGAAUGCUAUGAGUUAGCUGCUGAGUAUGAACGCACACUUGACCCUAAACAGCUGGAUGAGAUUGGGAACCUGUUAGCCCGGUUGGAUCCUGAAGACUCCAUCGUGACAACCAAGUCAUUAUCACACAUGCUUAUCCUGGCAAACUUGGCUGAGGAGGUCCAGAUUGCGUACCGAAGGAGACAGAAACUAAAAAGCGGUGAUUUUGCUGAUGAAAAUUCUGCAACAACUGAAUCAGACAUAGAGGAGACCCUAAAAAGGCUAGUUUGUCAGCUCAAGAAGUCGCCACUGGAAGUAUUUGAUGCCCUCAAGAAUCAAACGGUCGACCUGGUAUUGACAGCACAUCCAACUCAGUCGGUCAGGAGGUCAUUGCUCCAAAAACAUGGCAGGAUAAGGAAUUGCUUAACACAACUUUAUGCAAAAGACAUAACUCCAGAUGAGAAGCAGGAACUUGAUGAGGCGCUUCAGAGAGAGAUUCAAGCUGCCUUCAGAACUGAUGAAAUCCGACGGGCACCUCCUACUCCACAGGAUGAAAUGCGUGCUGGAAUGAGUUACUUCCAUGAGACAAUAUGGAAGGGUGUACCCAAGUUCUUACGGAGGGUAGAUACUGCUCUUAAGAACAUUGGCAUAAAAGAGAGAGUGCCUUACAAUGCCCCUCUCAUUCAGUUCUCUUCUUGGAUGGGUGGUGAUCGUGAUGGGAAUCCAAGAGUCACACCAGAGGUCACAAGGGAUGUAUGUUUGUUAGCAAGAAUGAUGGCUGCUAACUUGUACUAUGCACAGAUAGAGGAUCUGAUGUUUGAGUUAUCUAUGUGGCGCUGCAGUGAUGAACUACGCGUAAAAGCUGAUCAAUUACACCGUGCGUCAAAGAAAGACACAACAAAACACUACAUAGAGUUCUGGAAGCAAGUUCCUCCAAGCGAACCCUAUCGUGUAAUACUGAGUGAUGUCAGAGAUAAACUGUACAAUACGCGUGAGCGAUCACGCCAUUUAUUAGCCAGUGGGUUUUCUGAAAUUCCCGAUGACGCAAUCUUCACUGAUGUUGAGCAGUUCUUGGAGCCUCUUGAACUCUGUUACAGGUCCCUCUGUGCCUGUGGUGAUCACACUAUUGCAGAUGGCAAUCUUCUCGACUUUUUGCGGCAAGUGUCAACAUUUGGACUAUCCCUUGUUAGACUAGAUAUCAGGCAAGAAUCUGAAAGACACACUGAUGUUAUGGAUGCCAUAACUAAAUACCUUGGGGUAGGAUCAUACCGUAAAUGGUCAGAGGAGAAACGCCAAGAAUGGCUACUGUUUGAGCUCAAUGGAAAGAGGCCGCUAUUUGGUCCUGAUCUUCCCAAGACAAACGAAGUUGCUGAGGUUUUAGAUACAUUCCAUGUGUUAGCUGAACUUCCCUCUGAUAGCUUUGGUGCGUACGUGAUAUCCAUGGCAACAGCUCCUUCGGAUGUUCUAGCAGUUGAGCUUCUGCAGCGCGAAUGUCAUGUGAAGAAGCCACUGAGAGUUGUGCCGUUGUUUGAAAAACUAGCAGAUCUGGAAGCUGCACCAGCAGCUCUGGCACGACUCUUCUCCGUUGAGUGGUACAGAAACAGAAUCAAUGGAAAACAAGAAGUAAUGAUUGGUUAUUCAGAUUCUGGGAAGGAUGCUGGCCGUUUCUCUGCUGGUUGGCAACUGUACAAAGCUCAAGAGGAGCUUAUUAAGGUUGCUAAGGCUUUUGGGAUUAAGUUGACUAUGUUUCAUGGACGAGGAGGGACUGUUGGAAGAGGUGGGGGUCCUACCCAUCUUGCUAUACUGUCACAACCUCCAGAGACAAUCCAUGGAUCACUUCGGGUAACUGUUCAAGGUGAAGUCAUUGAGCAGUCUUUCGGGGAGGAGCAUUUGUGCUUUAGAACGCUUCAACGGUUUACAGCUGCUACUCUUGAACAUGGUAUGCAUCCACCAAUCGCACCAAAACCAGAGUGGCGUGCUUUGAUGGAUGAAAUGGCUGUUGUUGCCACAGAAGAAUACCGAUCCAUUGUCUUCCAAGAGCCACGAUUUGUUGAAUAUUUCCGCCUUGCAACACCAGAGCUGGAAUAUGGCAGGAUGAACAUUGGAAGUAGGCCAUCAAAACGGAAGCCAAGUGGAGGCAUCGAAUCGCUGCGUGCGAUUCCUUGGAUAUUUGCCUGGACGCAGACCAGAUUCCACCUGCCAGUGUGGCUUGGUUUUGGCGCAGCAUUCAAGCAUGUCCUGCAGAAGGAUAUCCGUAAUCUUCAAACCCUAAAGGAGAUGUACAAUGAGUGGCCGUUUUUCAGGGUUACAAUAGACUUGGUUGAGAUGGUGUUUGCCAAGGGUGACCCUGGUAUAGCGGCUCUGUAUGACAAGCUGCUGGUUUCUGAUGAUUUAUGGCCGUUUGGGGAGCGUCUUCGAGCAAACUAUGAAGAAACAAAGCAACUUCUUCUACAGGUAGCUGGGCACAAGGACCUCCUGGAGGGCGAUCCUUACCUGAGACAGAGCCUGCGGCUCCGUGAUUCUUACAUCACAACGCUGAAUGUCUGCCAAGCCUACACACUGAAGCGUAUCAGGGACCCUAGCUUCCAUUCACAGUCUGGGCCUCAUCUGUCCAAGGAGAUCAUGGAGUCCGGGAAGUCGGCCGCCGAGCUCGUGAAGCUCAACCCGACGAGCGAAUAUGCGCCGGGGCUCGAGGACACCCUCAUCCUGACCAUGAAGGGCAUCGCCGCCGGUAUGCAGAACACCGGCUGA
rnacentral:rRNA from 1 species